rnacentral:rRNA from 1 species
CGCGCUUGAGGGAUAGCCAUAAACAUGCAGUCGAACGGCAGCACAGGAGAGCUUGCUCUCUGGGUGGCGAGUGGCGGACGGGUGAGGAAUACAUCGGAAUCUACUUUUUCGUGGGGGAUAACGUAGGGAAACUUACGCUAAUACCGCAUACGACCUACGGGUGAAAGCAGGGGAUCUUCGGACCUUGCGCGAUUGAAUGAGCCGAUGUCGGAUUAGCUAGUUGGCGGGGUAAAGGCCCACCAAGGCGACGAUCCGUAGCUGGUCUGAGAGGAUGAUCAGCCACACUGGAACUGAGACACGGUCCAGACUCCUACGGGAGGCAGCAGUGGGGAAUAUUGGACAAUGGGCGCAAGCCUGAUCCAGCCAUACCGCGUGGGUGAAGAAGGCCUUCGGGUUGUAAAGCCCUUUUGUUGGGAAAGAAAUCCAGCUGGCUAAUACCCGGUUGGGAUGACGGUACCCAAAGAAUAAGCACCGGCUAACUUCGUGCCAGCAGCCGCGGUAAUACGAAGGGUGCAAGCGUUACUCGGAAUUACUGGGCGUAAAGCGUGCGUAGGUGGUCGUUUAAGUCCGUUGUGAAAGCCCUGGGCUCAACCUGGGAACUGCAGUGGAUACUGGGCGACUAGAAUGUGGUAGAGGGUAGCGGAAUUCCUGGUGUAGCAGUGAAAUGCGUAGAGAUCAGGAGGAACAUCCAUGGCGAAGCAGCUACCUGGACCCAACAUUGACACUGAGGCACGAAAGCGUGUGGAGCAAACAGGAUUAGAUACCCCUGGUAGUCCACGCCCCUAAACGAUGCGAACUGGAUGUUGGGUGCAAUUUGGCACCAGUAUCGAAGCUAACCGCGUUAAGUUCCCCCCUGGGGAAUACGGUUCAAGACUGAAACUC